CUACGGGGGGCUCCAGUGGGGAAUAUUGCACAAUGGGCGAAAGCCUGAUGCAGCAACGCCGCGUGAGGGACGACGGCCUUCGGGUUGUAAACCUCUUUUAGCAGGGAAGAAGCGAAAGUGACGGUACCUGCAGAAAAAGCACCGGCAACUACGUGCCAGCAGCCGCGGUAAUACGUAGGGUGCAAGCGUUGUCCGGAAUUAUUGGGCGUAAAGAGCUCGUAGGCGGUUUGUCGCGUCUGCUGUGAAAAUCCGAGGCUCAACCUCGGACCUGCAGUGGGUACGGGCAAACUAGAGUGCGGUAGGGGAGAUUGGAAUUCCUGGUGUAGCGGUGGAAUGCGCAGAUAUCAGGAGGAACACCAAUGGCGAAGGCAGAUCUCUGGGCCGUAACUGACGCUGAGGAGCGAAAGCGUGGGGAGCGAACAGGAUUAGAUACCCGAGUAGUC
rnacentral:rRNA from 1 species